AGAAAGGCUACGGCUACGUGGGCUGCGUGCGGGGCUUCACUUUCUACAUCGAGGGCAUGACGGGCUGGAUCAGCGCCGUCGCCCUCAUCCUCGCCUUCCAGCAAGUUUUCGCGUGCAUCGCUGCGGUGAUUCUGGCGAUGGUGAAGCAGGAGUUCAAGUCGAGCACGCGAGACUUGCGACGCUGAUGGAGGCAUGCUCGCGGGUGCUGAGUGUUUAAUUAAUGUAUUUCAGUCUGCCUUAGUGAAAAAAAUUACCAUGGGCGGAUGCCAUUAAUAAUUUACCAUGAACCAUGACCAUCAUCAUUCAAAUUAUUCAUCUCAACGAAUUUUUAUUUUUCUUAAAAAAUGUCAUAGAUUGUUUAGGGGAUUUAAGAAAAAAACAAAUAUGAAUUUUUUAGUUUAAGUUUGAUUCUGUACAAUAGUGUCAACUAAUUAUUGAACAAAAAUUAUUUGUAUAAACUAUGCAAGCGACAUUAAAUUAUUUUGACCUGUCGUCUUGUUUCUCCGUUCGAAGAAAUUAUUCACACAUUUUGACCAAAAAUUUCGGAAACUUAUUAUAAGAAUAUGUUAAGUAGUUUAAUGCUUAUUAUAAACGAUCGAGGUACAAUAAUACUAUAGCCUUGGCCUCCCCACGAAUUAGCUGCGAUGGUGCGGGCGUGGCAGAGUAACUAUUCUACCCAGCGAGAGUGUAAACUUCGUUAAUUAUUUCAAUAAUUAUAGGUCUAUUAUUUCCCAAUAAAAUCUGUCAUUCAAUUUACGAUAACUCAUCGACAUGAUGUGAUGAUAUGGGUUACAUACUAACUUUAUUAUUGAGAUUAAACAAUAAUUUAUUUUGAUUUAAUUCAUUUAAUAUAAAUUCCGAAUUUUAUACUAUUACAGUGAAAAACCAUAGAUUAUUUUUGUGUUGUAAGUUUUUAACAAAGAUGACAUAAAUUAACAUAUCAAAGCCAACGCCACAAUAAUUCAUUUUUUCAUAAAGGUGCCACAAUAAUUCAUUUUUUGGUUCCAUGAAAAUUUUCUAGUUUCGACGCGCAUCUUAAACCUGAAUUGUCUCUUCUAUUUUCCGGUAAACCUGAACAUUAGAAAAAUAUGGUUUUAGGUAUUUACGAGUCUUGUGUGGCAGGCUUAAGCCUUCUUGCUGUUAUUUAAUGUACCGUACUAGAUAAGUUUGAUUUUAUACGACUUUUAUAAAUAAUGUAUUGAAA
rnacentral:lncRNA from 1 species